GUGUUUUGUUGCAGUGUUGCCAGGUGUGUUUUGUAUACAGUGUUGCCGGGUGUGUUUUGUUGCAGUGUUGCCAGGUGUGUUUUGUUGCAGUUUUGCCAGGUGUGUUUUGU